rnacentral:rRNA from 1 species
CGCGGCCUAUCAGCUUGUUGGUGGAGUAACGGCCCACCAAGGCGACGACGGGUAGCCGACCUGAGAGGGUGACCGGCCACACUGGGACUGAGACACGGCCCAGACUCCUACGGGAGGCAGCAGUAGGGAAUCUUGCGCAAUGGACGAAAGUCUGACGCAGCGACGCCGCGUGCGGGAUGAAGGCCUUCGGGUUGUAAACCGCUUUCAGUGGGGAAGAAGCGAAAGUGACGGUACCCACAGAAGAAGCCCCGGCCAACUACGUGCCAGCAGCCGCGGUAAUACGUAGGGGGCAAGCGUUGUCCGGAAUCAUUGGGCGUAAAGAGCUCGUAGGCGGUUUUGGAAGUCGGGUGUGAAAGCCCGGGGCUCAACCCCGGGAUGCCAUUCGAUACUCCAAUGACUAGAGUCCGGUAGAGGAAAGUGGAAUUCCUGGUGUAGCGGUGAAAUGCACAGAUAUCAGGAGGAAUACCGGUGGCGAAGGCGGCUUUCUGGGCCGGUACUGACGCUGAGGAGCGAAAGCUAGGGGAGCGAACAGGAUUAGAUACCCUGGUAGUCCUAGCCGUAAACGAUGGGCACUAGGUGUGGGGUGUUAUCCAUGCAUUCCGUGCCGUAGCUAACGUAUUAAGUGCCCCGCCUGGGGAGUACGG